rnacentral:tRNA from 1 species
GGUGAGGUGGCCGAGUUGGUUAUGGCGCCAGGUUAAGGUUAUAGCUUAACAUGUUUCCUGGUGGGGCAACCCGCGCGAGUUCGAGUCUCGUCCUCAUCA